rnacentral:tRNA from 1 species
CGGGAUGUGGCGCAGCUUGGUAGCGCACCUGCUUUGGGAGCAGGGGGCCGCAGGUUCGAAUCCUGUCAUCCCGA